rnacentral:lncRNA from 1 species
GCUAAACGUAAGUCCAGUGGCGGUGCCAAGAAGACUUCCGUGGAGGAGGACAGCAGCAUUGGUGCAGGUCCGAGAUUACUUCAUGUUGGGUGCAGGUUGUGUUCAAAUUCAUCAGCACCGAUCUGAGUAGAUAGUAUCUAUAUAGGUGAAAGCAAUAUAGUGGAGGCCCGCAGAGAGAUGUGCUUUUACCUGUCCAGUGCAAUCAAAUCCCUAAAGGUGAAGGAAAUUAGGGAUCAAGUUCAGAUUCAACUUUAGAUUUCUCUUUGCGGUUUCCCAGAGUCUUCUCAGACACCCGGGUGUGGUUUCCGGGAAAGGGGAUCUAUCAUUGAGCAGCUGGAGAAGGAGGCUCAGAGGACUCUAAUGCCUUCUCUCAAGAUUGGGACAUGCUGUGCCCCAAUCCUCCUCUCCUUCCUGAGGAGUCUAACUGAUGAGCAAGUCCCAUGUCUUUUUCCAACCUCACAUACAACAACUCUGAAUUUAUAGUCAUAGUGCACCUUCUAACCACAAAUGGGAUUUCAAACACUACACUUAACCCUAACAUCACUGUAACCACACACCUAACUCUUCCUGUAAAUCAAGAACAAAAUAUCUCAUGGACUUGCUAAUUGCUUAAAUAAAUACACGUUUAUUUUCCCUGACAUGGCUAUCUAGUGACUCCACUAACUCAACACCAGUGUGCAGGUAAAAUAUGUUUCCUUCCUUUUCUUUUCUCUAGCCAAUGGAGAGUGAUUCAGCAGGGCAUGAAAAAUAAUGUAAGUCUCUCCACAUAAGGUUCUGGUCAAAAGUUGUGCGCUAUAUAGGGAAUGGUGUCAUGGAAUUGCUUGAUUGACAAAAACAUUACUCUGUUUGUUGGCCAUAGCUCACAUUCGAGCAGCUCUCCAUGCUGUGUCUGAAGAUUGUUAAAGUCGUGACCCAGACAGCCCUCCGAAUUCUCCUACCAGCGCUAGCUCGUAUCAUGGGGGUGAACCUGAGGAGUGGGGCAACCUCCCCAGAAUCCCAGUGCUCUCUGACAGGGUCUGAGGAUUCCUUAGGCGGUCUGGAUGAGAGAGAGAAAAGGCUGCUGAUCAGUGAGAUGAACUACUGGACUAAGGAGAGGAGGAGGAAUGGCAGUGCAGGAUGCCGCCAAAAAUCCACUCGCAGAACCUCAUCACCAUGCUGUUCGCCUAAGAGCGUUCCAAGAGAGGAAACAAAAAUGACUGCCAUUCAGUCCAGGACCAGACUGAGAUUCCCUCUACUGAUGGACAUUGCAUAGCUCCAGUUGGAGAGGUUUCUCCCUCCAUAUCUCAGCCUGUCAAAAAACGAUCCUUGAUUGUCAGGGUCUUUUCAGCACUGAUGAAGCCAUUCAGGCGCUUCACCAAGAAGAACCUGUAACCUGUUACGCUGCAUAAAGAACUACUUUUGUAACAGCAAGACUUUUGACAAGAGGAAUUUCUGCAUGUCUACCCUUUCAAAGUCUAUUUGAUCAAAUAAAUGCCAAUGAUUUUACAAGAAUUUCAAGUGUUUUGGAAGAUUGAUAAUACUGAAGCAGAUUUUCUCAGAGAAAUGCACUAGUUCCCCCUUGGUUACACAUUUAUUGUUCAGCUUUUGAGUUGGCAGGACAUAGGGCGUCAGGUAGCCUUGUGGUUAGAGCAUUGGGCCAGUUACCGAAAGGUUGCUAGCGUCAGAUCCCUGAACAAAUAUGUUGUUAUGCUCCUGAACAAGGUAGUUAACCCACUGUUCCUAAGCUGUCAUUGUAAAUAAGAAUUUGUUCUGAACUGACUUGUCUAGGAAAAUAAAUAAAAUAACCAGAGCUUGACUCUAAUACAAUAGUUGCUGCAUAGACUGUCAGAUAACCAGAUGUUCUCUAUUAAUUUAGUUAGAUUGGUAAGAGCUUAUUAGCAGCAAGGGAAAACACAUAGAGGAUAAUUAGCUAUCUGCAGCUAGAUCAACCCUCUGAGAUGCUUUCUAUAUUUUUUUUCUAUAUUUUUUCAUUUCACCUUUAUUUAACCAGGUAGGCAAGUUGAGAACAAGUUCUCAUUUACAAUUGCGACUUGGCCAAGAUAAAGCAAAGCAGUUCGACACAUACAACGACACAGGGUUACACAUGGAGUAAAACAAACAGUAAUACAGUAUAAACAAGUCUAUAUACGAUGUGAGCAAAUGAGGUGAGAGAAGGGAUGUAAAGGCAAAAAAAGGCCAUGGUGGCAAAGUAAAUACAUUAUAGCAAGUAAAACACUGGAAUGGUAGAUUUGCAGUGGAAGAAUGUGCAAAGUAGAAGUAAAAAAUGAUGGGGUGCCAAGGAGCUAAAUAAAUAAAUAAAAUAAUUACAGUAGGGAAAGAGGUAGUUGAUUGGGCUAAAUUAUAGGUGGGCUAUGUACAGGUGCAGUAAUCUGUGAGCUGCUCUGACAGUUGGUGCUGAAAGCUAGUGAGGGAGAUAAGUGUUUCCAGUUUCAGAGAUUUUUGUAGUUCGUCCCAGUCGUUGGCAGCAGAGAACUGGAAGGAGAGGCGGCCAAAGAAAGAAUUGGUUUUGGGGGUGACCAGAGAGAUAUACCUGCUGGAGCGCGUGCUACAGGUGGGUGAUGCUAUGGUGACCAGCGAGCUGAGAUAAGGGGGGACUUUACCUAGCAGGGUCUUGUAGAUGACAUGGAGCCAGUGGGUUUGGCGACGAGUAUGAAGCGAGGGCCAGCCAACGAGAGCGUACAGGUCGCAAUGGUGGGUAGUAUAUGGGGCUUUGGUGACAAAACGGAUUGCACUGUGAUAGACUGCAUCCAAUUUGUUGAGUAGGGUAUUGGAGGCUAUUUUGUAAAUGACAUCGCCAAAGCCGAGUAUUGGUAGGGUGGUCAGUUUUACAAGGGUAUGUUUGGCAGCAUGAGUGAAGGAUGCUUUGUUGCGAAAUAGGAAGCCAAUUCUAGAUUUAACUUUGGAUUGGAGAUGUUUGAUGUGGGUCUGGAAGGAGAGUUUACAGUCUAACCAGACACCUAGGUAUUUGUAGUUGUCCACGUAUUCUAAGUCAGAGCCGUCCAGAGUAGUGAUGUUGGACAGGCGGGCAGGUGCAGGCAGCGAUCGGUUGAAGAGCAUGCAUUUAGUUUUACUUGUAUUUAAGAGCAAUUGGAGGCCACGGAAGGAGAGUUGUAUGGCAUUGAAGCUUGCCUGGAGGGUUGUUAACACAGUGUCCAAAGAAGGGCUAGAAGUAUACAGAAUGGUGUUGUCUGCGUAGAGGUGGAUCAGAGACUCACCAGCAGCAAGAGCGACAUCAUUGAUGUAUACAGAGAAGAGAAUCGGUCCAAGAAUUGAACCCUGUGGCACCCCCAUAGAGACUGCCAGAGGUCCGGACAGCAGACCCUCCGAUUUGACACACUGAACUCUAUCAGAGAAGUAGUUGGUGAACCAGGCGAGGCAAUCAUUUGAGAAACCAAGGCUGUCGAGUCUGACGAUGAGGAUGUGGUGAUUGACAGAGUCGAAAGCCUUGGCCAGAUCAAUGAAUACGGCUGCACAGUAAUGUUUCUUAUCGAUGGCGGUUAAGAUAUCGUUUAGGACCUUGAGCGUGGCUGAGGUGCACCCAUGACCAGCUCUGAAACCAGAUUGCAUAGCAGAGAAGGUAUGGUGAGAUUCGAAAUGGUCAGUAAUCUGUUUGUUGACUUGGCUUUCGAAGACCUCAGAGUAGGAUAGGGUAGGAUAGAUAUAGGUCUGUAGUAGUUUGGGUCAAGAGUGUCCCCCCCUUUGAAGAGGGGGAUGACCGCAGCUGCUUUCCAAUCUUUGGGAAUCUCAGACGACACGAAAGAGAGGUUAAACAGGCUAGUAAUAGGGGUGGCAACAAUUUCGGCAGAUAUAUUAGAUAUUAGAUAGAUUUUAGAAAGAAAGGGUCCAGAUUGUCUAGCCCGGGUGAUUUGUAGGGGUCCAGAUUUUGCAGCUCUUUCAGAACAUCAGCUGACUGGAUUUGGGAGAAGGAGAAAUGGGGAAGGCUUGGGCGAGUUGCUGUGGGGGGUGCAGUGCUGUUGACCGGGGUAGGAGUAGCCAGGUGGAAAGCAUGGCCAGCCGUAGAAAAAUGCUUAUUGAAAUUCUCAAUUAUAGUGUAUUUAUCAGUGGUGACAGUGUUUCCAAUCUUCAGUGUAGUGGCAAGCUGGCAGGAGGUGUUAUUGUUCUCCAUGGACU